rnacentral:rRNA from 1 species
AUUACUGAGUUAUUACAACUCCAACCCUUUGUGAACUUACCACUGUUGCCUCGGCGAGUUGCGCUAUACGAUCGUGAUAGGGUCGACCUAUCACUAUAAUAUAGGGCGUUUAGGCUCGCCAGAGGACCCCUAAACUCUGUUUUUAUAUGUAUCUCUGAAUCAAACCUAAAAUUAUUAAAACUUUCAACAACGGAUCUCUUGGUUCUGGCAUCGAUGAAGAACGCAGCGAAAUGCGAUAAGUAAUGUGAAUUGCAGAAUUCAGUGAAUCAUCGAAUCUUUGAACGCACAUUGCGCCCAUUAGUAUUCUAGUGGGCAUGCCUAUUCGAGCGUCAUUUCAACCCUGAAGCCUCAGUUGCUUCGCGUUGGGAUUCUACGGGUGACAGCGUAGUUCCUUAAAAUUAGUGGCGGAGUUCUAGCACACUCUCAGCGUAGUAAUUCUCUCUCGCUUUUGCAGUGGUUAGGCCUAUAGCCGUAAAACCCCCCAUACUUCUAGUGGUUGACCUCG